GAGGAAUAUCAAAAUAUUUGUGGUGAAUUAAACCCCUAGGCUUAUCUCUUCAAAGAGUGGCAUCUUCUUGAUGAUUGAAAUCUUUUGUGCCAUUUCCAACUUAUCAAAAGGACUUUAAUUUCCUCCUUUUGCUUUGGAGUCUUGUGGCGAUUAUUCUUAUCAAGAUUUCUUGCAAAGUUCAACUUUUAUUGUUUCUUUCUUCUUAGUUUCUUUGUUUUGAUCUCCAUUUGAUGUUUUGUGUGAUAAACACACACAAAAAAAAACCAUAAAAAUUUCUGUUUCGUUUCUUAGUUCUUCUCAUCUUAGCUGAUUAGGUGUUUUAUGUGUUUUAAGUGUUUUCUUCUGUUUUCUUUUGUUUCAUUCUCAUAAAAUCCUUAAAAGAUUAGUCUUGUUAGUUUAUUUCCUAACAUAGCCGAAUUUCCUCAUUGUGUUUAACCUACCAAAAUGGUCCUUCAUUUUUUGUCUCCCUUUAGGCACAUCAAUUACGAAUAAAUCAAGUACCUUUAAGAAGAGCAAGGGAAAGAGUAACUUCUCCUACUAUAGGCACAACUGGUAUAGAU
rnacentral:misc_RNA from 1 species